rnacentral:rRNA from 1 species
UACAGAGGUCUCAACCGUUGUUCGGAUUCAUUGGGCGUAAAGGGUGCGUAGGCGGUCGUGCAAGUCGGAUGUGAAAUCUCAGGGCUCAACCCUGAAACUGCAUUCGAUACUGCGCGGCUAGAGUGCUGGAGGGGAGACUGGAAUUUACGGUGUAGCAGUGAAAUGCGUAGAUAUCGUAAGGAAGACCAGUGGCGAAGGCGAGUCUCUGGACAGCAACUGACGCUGAGACGCGAAAGCGGUGGGGAGCAAACAGG